rnacentral:rRNA from 1 species
UGGAGCGUGUGGUUUAAUUCGAUGCAACGCGAAGGACCUUACCAAGGUUUGACAUGCUUGAAGUAGGAACUUGAAAGAGAGACGACCUGUAUCCAAUCAGGAGCUUGCACAGGUGCUGCAUGGCUGUCGUCAGCUCGUGCCGUGAGGUGUUAGGUUAAGUCCUGCAACGAGCGCAACCCUCGUCGCUAGUUAAAUUUUCUCUAGCGAGACUGCCCUUUUUGUGGAGGAAGGUGGGGAUGACGUCAAGUCAGCAUGGCCUUUAUAUCUUGGGCA